rnacentral:rRNA from 1 species
UACGAAGGGGGCUAGCGUUGUUCGGAAUCACUGGGCGUAAAGCGCGCGUAGGCGGUUUGUUAAGUCCGAGGUGAAAUCCCAGAGCUCAACUUUGGAAUUGCCUUUGAAACUGAUAGACUUGAGUUCGGUAGAGGGUGGUGGAAUUCCUAGUGUAGAGGUGAAAUUCGUAGAUAUUAGGAGGAACACCAGUGGCGAAGGCGGCCACCUGGGCCGACACUGACGCUGAGGCGCGAAAGCGUGGGGAUCAAACAGG